UACGUAGGUGGCAAGCGUUGUCCGGAAUUAUUGGGCGUAAAGCGCGCGCAGGCGGUCCUUUAAGUCUGAUGUGAAAGCCCACGGCUCAACCGUGGAGGGUCAUUGGAAACUGGGGGACUUGAGUGCAGAAGAGGAAAGCGGAAUUCCACGUGUAGCGGUGAAAUGCGUAGAGAUGUGGAGGAACACCAGUGGCGAAGGCGGCUUUCUGGCCUGUAACUGACGCUGAGGCGCGAAAGCGUGGGGAGCGAACGGG
rnacentral:rRNA from 1 species